rnacentral:rRNA from 1 species
CCUACGGGCGGCAGCAGUGGGGAAUAUUGGACAAUGGGCGAAAGCCUGAUCCAGCCAUGCCGCGUGUGUGAAGAAGGCCUUCGGGUUGUAAAGCACUUUCAGUGGGGAAGAAAGCCUUGGGGCUAAUACCCUCGAGGAAGGACAUCACCCACAGAAGAAGCACCGGCUAACUCCGUGCCAGCAGCCGCGGUAAUACGGAGGGUGCGAGCGUUAAUCGGAAUUACUGGGCGUAAAGCGCGCGUAGGCGGUCUGAUAAGCCGGUUGUGAAAGCCCCGGGCUCAACCUGGGAACGGCAUCCGGAACUGUCAGGCUAGAGUGCAGGAGAGGAAGGUAGAAUUCCCGGUGUAGCAGUGAAAUGCGUAGAGAUCGGGAGGAAUACCAGUGGCGAAGGCGGCCCUCUGGACUGACACUGACGCUGAGGUGCGAAAGCGUGGGUAGCAAACAGGAUUAGAUACCCCGGUAGUC